rnacentral:lncRNA from 1 species
GUGGCAGUAUUCCACGAGAAAAAUAGAUCAUGACGAAAAAUUCCUUCUUAGUUUGAUGAGGGAAAAGGAGGUUACAUUUAGCUCGGCUCCUCAAUCUGUGUUAGCAGCGAUGAGGGGUACUUUGAUAACUGUGAUCACACUGUGGAUACCUUUGAUUCCGUUGAUGUGGGUUCUAUAUCGUCAACUUUCUGCCGCUAAUAGUCCAGCGAAAAAGCGGAAACCUAAGAGUCAGACAGUUGGAUUUGAAGAUGUUCAAGGUGUUGAUUCUGCAAAAGUAGAACUCAUGGAGGUAAUUAUUUCUGAAGUAGUAUUUACAAUAAUUUUGUAACAGAAAUAAUUUUGCUGUAUUGAUAAUUUUGCUAAUGAUAUUUAUCUCAUUAGGAAUUUCUAGUAAUUGAUCUAUUGGAAGUUGGGAUUAUAGAUAAGUGGUAGAUGACAUGGUACCAAAACAUAAAAGCUUUGAGUAUCCGAAGUAAAGAAAGUUCAACUAACUUCUUGAUUUUGGAUUUUUGAGACGUGGAAUGGUUGUACUUAUAUUAUAGAAUAUAGAUUAUAUCAUUAUUUCCUGAUAAUCAAAUUCAGAAUUCUAUAUCGCAGAACAAUAAUUAAGUUCAAAUCCAUUUGAUUAUUUAUCCAGGUUACUUAGUAGUUAUGCUAAAAGGUUGUUUUUAAAGCUACCCUGCUCUCAUGGUUAUAAGGGGUAGCACUUGUGUGACAUAAGAGUUGGGUGACAUUGGUGACAUAUAGUAUAGCCUGUGGCAUUUAGAUGCAUUGUCACAAAAAUAACCCUGAUUGCAUCAAAAUAUUAGACUUUGAAAUGUUUGAUAUGCAUGGAGUAUUCACUGAUUUCCAUUCUGUAUUGCUUUGAGAUUUGACCAUUGCAUCUGAUAAAACAUAUUAGAGAGAAACUAAAUGUUUGGAAUAGUUAUGGAGGGACAAAGGAAGAGAGGGAGAUAAAUAGAAAUAGAAACAAGAAUAAAUCUUCAAUUUGGUCCAUAAACUCUCACCUAUGAAGCACAAACACGGACACCGGACACCAACACGCCGACAUGGAUAAUAAUUUGAGAAAAUGAUAUAAUUCAAUGUAAUGAUAGGUGUCGUGCCGUCCGUGCUUUAUAGACUAUCACUCUCUCUCCUAUUUGGUCCCUGAAAUUAUUCUCAAUCUAUCAAGUUAGUCCUUGAACUAUCACUCUCUCAUAUUAUAAAAGCAACUGAAGGACUAACUUAAUGGAUCGAGAAUAAUUUAGGGACUUUUUAUUAUAUUCUAUUGUUUAGAGACCAAGGAGAGUGAGAGUUCAGGAACCAAAUUGAAGGUUUACUCUAGAAAUAAUGUUAAAAGGUAAGGAUGAAUCAUGGAGAUUGGAGGAAUAUUACAUCAUAAUCUGUCAAUUAAUAGCAUCUAGAGUGAGUAAGAAAAUGGCCAUGCCUUUUUGUUUUGAUCAUUUCUAAGUUUGGUAAACCUUUUUUGUCCAUGGUUAAUCAACUAAUUGUUUUCCAUAGAUUGACACUUUCCUUUAUUUGUAGAUAGUUUCAUGUCUGCAAGGAGAUAUAAAUUACCAAAAGCUAGGGGCAAAGCUACCCAGAGGAGUGUUGCUAGUCGGUCCUCCAGGAACUGGCAAGACAUUACUUGCACGUGCAGUAGCGGGGGAAGCAGGUGUACCCUUUUUCACAGUAUCUGCUAGUGAGUUUGUAGAAAUGUUUGUUGGAAGAGGUGCAGCUAGAAUCAGAGACCUGUUCAGUAGAGCAAGGAAAUUUGCACCAUCAAUCAUAUUCAUUGAUGAACUUGAUGCGGUUGGUGGCAAGCGUGGAAGAGGCUUCAAUGAGGAACGGGACCAAACGCUAAAUCAGGCAAGUUUAGUCAUCAUUUUGUAUUUCUUUUCUAGCAACAAUUUAUUGAACUCAUAGUUAUCAAUAUCAUAUAAUGCAUGCGAGUCGUAUCUUUAUUCGAUACUAUACUGAACUCAAUCGAUAUGAAUCUCUGGUGUGUAUUUUUUGGGACAUGAAUCUUGUCUUGAAUGUUGAUUCAUUAUGAUGGAUCCCGAUUCUUUUUUAAGCUUCUACUUAAACUUGAUGUAGCCAACCACUUUUUUUAUGUCUGUAUAACCAAUCAAUUUUCUUAUGUCAUUUGAUUUAUGAUUUGAAUCUUGAAUUACUGUAAAGUUCGCAUAUGAUAUAUCAGCUUAUAAUUUUUACUUAAAAAUGACAGGGGUUUAUUAGUAAUGUAUUCUAUAAUUCAUAAUAAGACUAGACUAUGCACCCGUGCUGCCGCACGGGUCAUAUACAUUGUAUAUCUAGUAGGCAAAAACAAAGUUUAAUAGCUCAAUUACAAUUUAUAGUUUUAAUGUCAUUAUUUUUUAGUACUCUGUUCAUCUCAAAAUAAUAGUCUUUAAGGUUUGUUAAGAAAUCAGUUUGUAUUCCAACUAUAAUGGCCAUUGGGAAAAUGAAACAUUAGUGGCUUAUAGCAUCUACUAAUCACAUGGUAUGGUAUAGGAAACAACAAUCUUGUGCUUUGAUUAAUACACCUUGGAGAUGGAGUUUAGAAGCAUAAGAUACAGAGUCAUUUAAGAUAAAGACAUCCUUGCACGCAAAACGAACAGCCACCAUCCGACUCAUUUCGUAGAAGCACAACAUAUUAAGGAAUUUUAAUCUAACAUGUUUAUUGCUGAUUACAAUCCAUGUCAUUACACUAAGGUCUUCAUAUGAUCACACACACAAUAUAAGAGUUAAUAUUCUAGGUUGUUAUUACUGAAUAGGCUAGUAAUUUAAUUAUGGCAACAACACUAUGCUAUAGAAAUAAUAUAAGUGCAUUCUUCAACUUUCAACUUGCCAAAACAUUUGCAUUAAUCCUCCAAAAAAGAAUAUUAUCACCAAAGCAGAACCAUAACAUUUUAGUAUGCCACAAUAGGGUAUAUUUUUCUAAAUUUCCAGAAGAGUCUGAGCCCUUUCAACUUCUGUAGUAGAAAAUUGACAUGUAUAUUAUCAACUUAUUAACUCAAUAUUAAUCAGAACAUAUUAGAUAAAAUAAGAUUGGAAUUAUCCAUCGUAAACCAUAGAUAGCAACAAAUGAUCCAUUACACCACAAAACAUCCAAUACAUCCACAAAACCUUGACAGACAAGGAUCUAAAUAAAAGAUGCCAAAACAUAACGCUUGUUGUGUGAGCUGCGGGUAGAACAAAAGCAACACAUUCGUCAUCACCACCGUCACUGUCGUCCUCACCCUCCCUCAUCUCCAUAUUUGUUUUCUUUGCCUCACACUCUUCUCCAAAAAACAACAACAACAACCUUUUUUAAACAAAAAAAAACCCAAAACAGCAAUAUUUUCACAUAUGUCGGAAUGAAUCGACGGCGAAAACAGAGAAGGCGGCGAGGGAGAGAAGGCAGAGAGAAGAAAUAGCGCAUCAAUGAGAGAAGUGAAAUUCAAUUUUUUUUUAGCUACAUGAUUGGGAUCCAAAGGUGCUGCCACGUAAACACAACAAAAAAUUAGCUACAGAGUAUGUUUAUUUUUUUCCCAUGGAGAAUCAACAUUUACCUGUCAAACAAUGGUAUUAUAGCAAAGUGUAGACAUUGUUGUGAGUCAUUUCUUGAUGAACGUGAGAUAAGAGUUGCGGGUAGGACAAAGGAGGCUCAGUAGAGUAGUAUAUAUAUAGGGAGAGGACAUGAUAUAUGAGAAGAUGUAUGGUGCAUUGGAAUUACGCAUUUAUUAUUUAAUGUAGGUGGAAGAUGAAAGUUCUGGUAUGCCUUGGGUUAGUGGAAGAGGUUUGGAAGAAAAUUUGAAUUUGAAUAUCAACAUUUAAUGUACUUAGUAAUCAGUGUGAUUAGGUCAUAGUUGUAAACAUUUAGUGGGAGAUUUGAAAUUCAAAUUCUGCAUUNAUGAAAUAAAAUUUACUUUUUUUGAAUUUUUAUUGCUCAUAAUGAAGAAUAUUGAUUAUUUUUUAUGAGAAAAUGUUAAAAAUUUAAUAUAAUUCAUAUAAACAAUGAAAUGAUGUUUUUUUUUCUCAUGAGAUGGUGUUUUCUAAAAUAUAAAUAAUGACAAAUAACAACUUAUUUAAUAAAAUAUCAUUAAUUUAUAAAUUUAUGAAGCAGAGUACCGAUACACCUCAAUUUGUGAGGUGUACCGUAGAAGCUCCCUUAUUACAAACUUUGAUUAAAUGGAAAUAAAUUAUUAAAAAAAUAUUCCAAGCAAAAUGAUUAGAUGGAAAAAAAAUAUUCAACAAUUUUUAUUCCAAGCAGAAUAUUUUUUUUUGACAAAAAUAAAUAAUAUUCAUUCAUUCAAAUUGAUAGAGUACAUCGAUACAAUACAAAUUCAAAUUUGCUAAAAACAAAAAUGACGAAUCCGUGAACAAACUCACAACAUCCAUGUUAAUAACAUAAAACGGCAAAGUACUUAUGUCUACAAAUAUGAUUAAUAUGACUACAUUCAUGUCUCCGAAGUACUCAUGUCUCUGGAUCUGCAAUGUUUACCACGCCAAAAUCAUUGUCAUUGAUCGGAUCUGCAUUUGCUCAAAGUUAAUCUUUUAACCUGAAUCAAAUAAACACUGCACUAAGACGGAAAAUAAAAAACACACCGCACAAAGACGGGAAAUCAAAACAAGCAAAGUCGUUCAGAGACGACGAAAUCACAAAAACAAACGAAAGAAACUAGAAAAUAUGUGAAACCACUUAUUCAAUUAGGGUAGAAGGAAAAAACAAUUCGGAAGAAUGAUUUUUUUAGGUCAAAAUUAACUCUAAAUCACCCCUCUAAAAAGAAGAAGAAGAAAAGGGGUGACGGCUUGGGUUUGGAAAGGAGAGAAGAGAGAGGAAGAAAAGGGUAUUGUAAUAUAUUUCAAGUAGAACUUUUUUUUAUCUAGCAGUAGUAUUUUUAGAUAGAUGAAAUUAUAAUUGCCAACACAAACUCACACGACAUGCGAAAGAGUCGUGGUUUGAAUUCUGAUCACGACGUUUUGCCUAACAAUUUAGACAUUUUUAACAAUUGAGAUAUAAAUUUACAAACUUAACUAAAUGAAAAAAUGUGUGUAUUUACUUGUAGAAUUUUUUUUCUAAUAACGAUAGAAUUUAAUUAUUUCAUAUACUCUCUAUGGAUCUUAAAUAUUUUUCUUUUGAAGAAGUUAAACUAAAUCAUCGAAAUUGAAAUCCGAAGAAAAAUUAAUGUAAAUAUCGGAACAGGUAAGAUCACAAUCAACAAUAAAAUCCUUCUCUUAAGAGAUUUAAUAUUGAUUUGCUUUUUUUUUUGUUAGGUAGCCUAGCGGCUAUAAUUCACAUUAUAAGAUGAAUAAGUAGGAUGUCCGAGGUUCGAAUUCCGACCAUUGCAUAUAAUAAUGCAUUGUCCUAUCAACCGAGCUAUGCUCACAUGACAUAUUGAUUUGCUUUUGAUUCUUUUUAUCAAUUAAAAAUUGUGUGGAUCCCACCAAAAUAUAUGACUUGUGUAUCAUACUGGUUGAAUCCAUAUAAAUUUAAUUGAUAAAAAAGUGUGUAUUGAAAAUAUAAUCUAAGAGUGUGUUGUUAAUAUUAUUCUAAUUUUUAAAGUUUAAACAUGUGGUGGGGUUAUAUAAUUUUCACAAAUCGAAUGUCCCAAAAAACAACAAAUUUUUAAAUUAAAAAAAAAAAAAAGACUUAUAUUUAUGAGUUACACCAUUAAUUUCCAGUUACACACUUCUCUCACACAAAUUAAAUAUCUUAAUUCCCAAAAUGCCAUUAAACCCAAUUUAAUUACCUUUAUACAAUCCCAAUUCAAGCUUUACACACUAACUCAAUUCAAGGACAAUUUAGUCAAUUCAAACUUCUCAAUACCUUACAAGGGGUGUAACAUAGAAUCAUGUGGGUGAAACUAGUAGUUUUCAGUAGAUAGAUAUACUCAAACACUGACACCAACAAAACAACCAAUAGAAACCACUCUGUUCUUCCUCUUCCACAAGAUUCCACUUCUUCAAUUCUACACAUUUUUCUAUAACACCCAUUUCCACAUUCAAUAAUUUCACUGAAAAAUUCUUUAUCUUUUACAUCUUCAAGCUCCAACUUUUUUGUUGAAUUCUGUGAAAUAAUUCAGUUUAUACAACACUAGAAGCUUUCAUGAAUAUAUAGAUUUGAUUUUGAAUAGAAAUGGCUUGUUUUUCUUUACCUUGUUGUACUGGGUCAUUUUUGACACCAAAUAGGUUAAAAAUUAAGUUUAAUCAAUGCUAUAAUUUUGAAAAUGGGUUUUUAUGGAAUAAGAAAUUUGAGUAUUAUGGUAGAAAAAGUAGAAAUUUUUCAUUGAGGUUUCAACAAAAUAGUGUUGGUAAUGAAAUUGAGCCACUUGUUAGUAGUAGAAGUAGGGAUGAUAGGAAGAGUGAUUAUGGUAAAGGGGGGCGUGGUAACAGGUUAAAGAAGAGAUUUUCGUUGAGAUUGCGGCCAAGGUUACGGUUAUUGGUUAUGAGGAUGAAAAGGGCUUCUGUUGAAUCUGUUUUCAAUGAGGUUGGAGUGUUUGUUAGGAAGAAUAUUAGGACGGUGGCGUUUGCUACUUCGUUUUCGAUUGUGUUUACACUUUGUUUCUUGUUUUUGAAAUUUACUUCACUUCCGCCUGUGAAAAUGGUUCCGUAUUCGGACUUGAUUGCGAGUCUUCGAAAUGGAAAUGUGGAGAAAGUUUUAGUUGAAGAAGGGUCUCGGCGUAUAUAUUACAAUACGGUUUCUGAUGAAGAAGAAUCACAACAAGUAGUAGAUGUUUCGAUGGAUAAGGAUAUAGACGAGGUUGUGAGUGAGAAUGCUGUAAAAUCUGGUGGAAUUCCUGUGUUGAAUAAAUUGAAGAAAUUCUCUAAGAGACGAGCUUCAGUUCCUGAGUGGCAGUAUUCCACGAGAAAAAUAGAUCAUGACGAAAAAUUCCUUCUUAGUUUGAUGAGGGAAAAGGAGGUUACAUUUAGCUCGGCUCCUCAAUCUGUGUUAGCAGCGAUGAGGGGUACUUUGAUAACUGUGAUCACACUGUGGAUACCUUUGAUUCCGUUGAUGUGGGUUCUAUAUCGUCAACUUUCUGCCGCUAAUAGUCCAGCGAAAAAGCGGAAACCUAAGAGUCAGACAGUUGGAUUUGAAGAUGUUCAAGGUGUUGAUUCUGCAAAAGUAGAACUCAUGGAGGUAAUUAUUUCUGAAGUAG